CUGGACAAUCGCUGCUCUUGUAGAGGAAAGUCCAUGCUCGCACGAGCUGUGAUGCUCGUAGUGAUUGCGCUAGCGGAACAAAUAACGCUAGGUACGUAGGAGUACGUAACGGCGGGAAGAAGCCUAAAGGAAACCAUGGUCUAUUCCCUGAAAGUGCCACAGUGACGUAGUUUAUUGGAAACAAUAAAGUGGAACGCGGUAAACCCCACAAGCGAGAAACCCAAAUUUGGUAGGGGAGACAAGGAGAGAGAACCGAAUUAAACCUUGUAGGCAAUUGCCUAGAUAAAUGAUUGUCAAAACAGAACAUGGCUUAUAG
rnacentral:RNase_P_RNA from 1 species